rnacentral:lncRNA from 1 species
GAAGUGCACUCUCCCUUUGCCUCCUGCCAUGAUUGUAAGGUUCCUGAGGCAUCCCCAGAAGCCAAGCUGAUGCUGCCAUGCUUCCUGUACAACCUGUGGAACUAUUCUUGUCACCUGGAAGGAGUUGUUUGGAGUAAUGUAAAGAAGACCUGUCCUAACACUGAAGGAUCAUAAAAAAUUUGCUUUCACCAAGAAGUUCAGAAACUUUAACAUGGCUGAUGUGAUAAAGUGUUGGGUCUUUCUCUGAAGCUCAAGAAGGAAGGAGAAUUUGAGGAAGGCUGAACUCAGAGAAGAGAGGUGAUAAAAUAGAGAGAAAGGUCUCUGGAGAGAUCAGCUACACCGUAGCCAGCUGGGACCUGUGGAGGACGAAGAUCAUUAUGAUAUUCCCUGCAGCAGGAAGCAGCAAAUGAACUGUCAGGCCAGUGAGGUCUGACACCCAAUUAUAAGUUGUCAAAUAUAUACACAGCGUCUUUCCAUCAUACCUACAUUUGUUAACGUUAUUUUUAUUUACCUUCUGUUUUGUGUCCAGCACUGAUAUUGUGCUAAAUCCUUCAGACAAAGUUUGGUGCUUUCAUGACCUGACUAUGUGUUUGCAGUAAGUGUUUGGAGAAAUGAGGGAGAUGAGAGAAGAAGUGCUGUGUAUGUUCACAUUUUGGGGCACAGCAGUCCCCAGAUCAGCUGGGGAAGCAAGGUGAGCUAGUGACAAGUUGGCCAGAAAGUAUAGAUGAGCAGCAAGAAA